rnacentral:rRNA from 1 species
GACAGAGGUGGCAAGCGUUGUUCGGAUUUACUGGGUGUAAGGGCACGUAGGCGGUCCGGAAAGUCGGAUGUGAAAUCCUAUGGCUUAACCAUAGAACUGCAUCCGAAACUUCCGGGCUAGAGUGUGGGAGAGGAAGAUGGAAUUCCCGGUGUAAGGGUGAAAUCUGUAGAUAUCGGGAGGAACACCAGUGGCGAAGGCGAUCUUCUGGCCCAUGACUGACGCUCAGUGUGCGAAAGCUGGGGGAGCGAACGGGAUUAGAUACCCUGGUAGU